UACAGAGGGUGCGAGCGUUGUCCGGAAUCAUUGGGCGUAAAGAGCGUGUAGGCGGCUUGUUAAGUCUUGCGUGAAAUCUCGGGGCUCAACCCCGAGCGGUCGUGAGAAACUGGCAGGCUAGAGUCCGGAAGAGGAGAAUGGAAUUCCCGGUGUAGCGGUGAAAUGCGCAGAUAUCGGGAAGAACACCCGUGGCGAAGGCGGUUCUCUGGGACGGUACUGGACGCUGAGACGCGAAAGCGUGGGGAGCGAACAGG
rnacentral:rRNA from 1 species